AACGGCCAUACCAUGCUGAAUAUACCGGUUCUCGUUAGAUCACCGAAGUCAAGCAUCAUUGGGCGCGGUCGGUACUUGGGUGGGUACCUUGGGUCCCACCUACCUGGGAACAUCGCGUGCCGUU